GAUGAACGCUGGCGGCGUGCCUAAUACAUGCAAGUCGAGCGAACAGACGAGGAGCUUGCUCCUCUGACGUUAGCGGCGGACGGGUGAGUAACACGUGGAUAACCUACCUAUAAGACUGGGAUAACUUCGGGAAACCGGAUCUAAUACCGGAUAAUAUAUUGAACCGCAUGGUUCAAUAGUGAAAGACGGUUUUGCUGUCACUUAUAGAUGGAUCCGCGCCGCAUUAGCUAGUUGGUAAGGUAACGGCUUACCAAGGCAACGAUGCGUAGCCGACCUGAGAGGGUGAUCGGCCACACUGGAACUGAGACACGGUCCAGACUCCUACGGGAGGCAGCAGUGGGGAAUCUUCCGCAAUGGGCGAAAGCUUGACGGAGCAACGCCGCGUGAGUGAUGAAGGUCUUCGGAUCGUAAAACUCUGUUAUUAGGGAAGAACAAAUGUGUAAGUAACUAUGCACGUCUUGACGGUACCUAAUCAGAAAGCCACGGCUAACUACGUG
rnacentral:rRNA from 1 species